rnacentral:tRNA from 1 species
GGUUCCAUAGAGUAGCAGUUAGCAUGUCUGUUUUACAUGUAGAAGGUCCUGGGUUCACACCUCAGUAGAGCCA